rnacentral:tRNA from 12 species
GUAUAGCUCAGUGGAAAGAGAGUAAGCCUUCAGAACCAAAGGUCGCAGGUUCAAAUCCUGCAAA